CCUUCGGGGGUACACGAGCGGCGAACGGGUGAGUAACACGUGAGCAACCUACCCUCAACUUUGGGAUAAGCCUCGGAAACGGGGUCUAAUACCGGAUAAUACUAACCGUCUCCUGGUGGUUGGUUGAAAGUUCUGGCGGUUGGGGAUGGGCUCGCGGCCUAUCAGCUUGUUGGUGGGGUAAUGGCCUACCAAGGCGUCGACGGGUAGCCGGCCUGAGAGGGCGACCGGCCACACUGGGACUGAGACACGGCCCAGACUCCUAUGGGAGGCAGCAGUGGGGAAUAUUGCGCAAUGGACGAAAGUCUGACGCAGCAACGCCGCGUGAGGGAUGACGGCCUUCGGGUUGUAAACCUCUUUCAGCAGGGACGAAGCGAGAGUGACGGUACCUGCAGAAGAAGGACCGGCCAACUACGUGCCAGCAGCCGCGGUAAUACGUAGGGUCCGAGCGUUGUCCGGAAUUAUUGGGCGUAAAGGGCUCGUAGGCGGUUCGUCACGUCGGGAGUGAAAACUCGGGGCUUAACCCCGAGCCUGCUUCCGAUACGGGCAGACUAGAGGUAGGCAGGGGAGAGCGGAACUCCUGGUGUAGCGGUGGAAUGCGCAGAUAUCAGGAAGAACACCGGUGGCGAAGGCGGCUCUCUGGGCCUUACCUGACGCUGAGGAGCGAAAGCGUGGGUAGCGAACAGGAUUAGAUACCCUGGUAGUCCACGCCGUAAACGUUGGGCGCUAGGUGUGGGGGACAUUCCACGUCCUCCGUGCCGCAGCUAAC
rnacentral:rRNA from 1 species